AGUCUCCAGCAUGUGGACAUCAUCGUGGAGAGAUUUCAAUCAAGAGUAUUACCAGUACAGGAGGACUUUCAAAGAAGUUUUAAAAGAGGAGAGAGUUUUGGAUGAAGUAAGAAAGAGGCAAGCCAUGCAUACCACAAAACUGAACAAACUUCAAAAACAGCUAGAGCAAACUAAGAGAAAAAGUUAUACAGGAAAAUAUUCUUCAUUGGAAAAUGAAAUAGCAG